UUUCCGUAGGUGAACCUGCGGAAGGAUCAUUAAUUAGUACUUGUCGGCGGCUAGCUGAUGUAACUAUCAGUUAGUUCGUUUGAACAUUUACCCUGUCUUCUGCGUACCUAUUGUUUCCUCGGCAGGCUCGCCUGCCAGAGGACCCCCUUUCAACCUCUUUGAAAUAGUAAUCAGCGUCAGAAAAACAUAAUUGUUACAACUUUCAACAACGGAUCUCUUGGUUCUG
rnacentral:misc_RNA from 1 species